GUGGGGAAUCUUAGACAAUGGGCGCAAGCCUGAUCUAGCCAUGCCGCGUGAGUGAUGAAGGCCCUAGGGUUGUAAAGCUCUUUCAGCUGGGAAGAUAAUGACGGUACCAGCAGAAGAAGCCCCGGCUAACUUCGUGCCAGCAGCCGCGGUAAUACGAAGGGGGCUAGCGUUGUUCGGAAUCACUGGGCGUAAAGCGCACGUAGGCGGAUCAAUAAGUCAGGGGUGAAAUCCCGAGGCUCAACCUCGGAACUGCCUUUGAUACUGUUGACCUUGAGUCCGGGAGAGGUGAGUGGAACUCCGAGUGUAGAGGUGAAAUUCGUAGAUAUUCGGAAGAACACCAGUGGCGAAGGCGGCUCACUGGCCCGGUACUGACGCUGAGGUGCGAAAGCGUGGGGAGCAAACAGGAUUAGAUACCCUAGUAGUCC
rnacentral:rRNA from 1 species